GCGUCACAGGAUGAAGUGAGCGGGCCUUAACCAGCCCUGGAAAGUCCCCGGGCCCCUUGCGCAGCGAUGCGCCCACGGAGACGUGGAACGGCCCACGAGCCGGCUCUCCCUGCUUCGGUGGGGGGCUGAGACACGUGUGGAGCCCAAUUUCAGGGAGCCGGCUCUGGUUCAAUUGGCCAAGCUUGUCACACACAGUUAUUCACUUGGUCCUCACUCAUGGACUAACAGAACGGGGCUUACACUCCUGUGGCG
rnacentral:RNase_MRP_RNA from 2 species